rnacentral:rRNA from 1 species
UACUAGAGUAGCACUCGCAUAUCAAUAAGCGGAGGAAAAGAAACUAACAAGGAUUCCCCUAGUAACGGCGAGUGAAGCGGGAAGAGCUCAAAUUUGAAAUCUUAAAGGGUUUCCCUUUACGAAUUGUAGUUUAAGGAAGUGUUUUCUGUUGAGGUUUUGGUAAAAGUUCUUUGGAAUAGGACAUCAUAGAGGGUGAGAAUCCCGUAUUUGACCUUUACUUUCAACUUUGUGAUACACUUUCAAAGAGUCGGAUUGUUUGGGAAUGCAGUCCAAAAUGGGUGGUAAAUUUCAUCUAAAGCUAAAUAUUGGCGAGAGACCGAUAGCGAACAAGUACCGUGAGGGAAAGAUGAAAAGAACUUUGAAAGGAGAGUUAAACAGUACGUGAAAUUGUCAAAAGGGAAGCGUUUGACACCAGUGUUGUUUUUCUGAAAAUCAAUUAAAGAACUGUUUAUGCUAAGUUGUUUAGACUUUAUCAGCUAACUGUUUAGUUUUGAGCUUUUCUUUAAUGCACUUUUCAGUUAACAAGUCAACAUCAAUUUCUUUUGCUGUAAAAAAGCUUGAGGAAGGUGGCUUGAGAUUCGUCUUAAGUGUUUAUAGCCUCUUGCCUAUGCAGUCGGAGAGAUUGAGGUCUGCAGCGUAGAUCCUUCGGGGCUAAAUGCAUUUGUGCUAAGUUAUAGCAUUUUAUAGACAACUUGUUGACUAUGAUUUGUCUUGUAGCUUACUCGCUUAUGUUAUUUUACCUACGCUUAGGAUGUUGAAGACUCUACAGAGAUA